CGCGAGUAUGACCUGUCUCGGCUAUACCUUUUCUCCUGAGGUGAAACAGACCUGCCCCAUUAUCACAAACACCAGACAAGGUUAGCAAUGCCAACAGAGAAAUGUACGAAAAAUAUUCUAAGCACCAAGAAAGUUAUCUGCAAAUGAACACAGUGAAAACCCAGAAAAUAGAAGAAAACAGAUAUUCUUCCCUAGAAAAAUAAGGAAAACAGUGGGUUUUUUUCCCAAUCUUUUCUUUGAUAAACACACUAUGGUUCAGUUUGGUUAGACGGAGAAUACAUGAAAGUGAAAAAAAAAGGGAAUUUUUUUUGUUUUGUUUUAUUUUUUCAGAUAGGGGUUCCUAGAAAGUAAUGAAAACUAAGGCUGUGUUUGGUUUUGUUUCCAAACAAUGAUUCUACACCCAUAUUCCAAUAUGAUGUUUGGUUAGAAUUUUCAAAUCACAUUUCCACAACUCUACUGAAAACUCUGUCUGGGACGCGUUUU